AUAUAUUAACCCUAGGGAUCCUGUAUACCCAACCCAUCACAACUCAUCAAUGGCGCCUGAGAUGAGAAGCUGCAGCAUCAACCAAGAUGACGAUGAAGAUGGAGUCUUGAAAAUUCCAUUGAUUAAAUCAGCGGAUAAGCGAUUUUACCAGAGUAUUGAUGAUUUCUUGUGCUUUGCCUUGUAAGCCCGUCUAUGACGCUCCACAUCCAAGUGCUCUAGCCAAGCCGGACCCAAAUUUGAAAAGGGCGGGCGGCUGCGGGCGUUAUGACAUCCUUACUACCUACCAGCUUUGGCAUGAUAUGCAUUCUUAGAUGAAGAAUGAAGGGCUACAUUCAAAGUUUCCAGGCCAAACUGCAAAAAUGAAAUUGGGAUUAAGCAAACCAAUUGAUCAUGCAAAAUAAAUGCAUCAUUGGUCUUGUUCUCUCAAAUUUGGCACUUUGGAAGCAUUCUCAUUGGUUGUGUAUUAAAAAUAUUUGUUAAAGUGCA